rnacentral:rRNA from 1 species
CCUACGGGAGGCAGCAGUGAGGAAUAUUGGUCAAUGGACGCAAGUCUGAACCAGCCAUGCCGCGUGCAGGAUGACGGCUCUAUGAGUUGUAAACUGCUUUUGUACGAGGGUAAACGCAGAUACGUGUAUCUGUCUGAAAGUAUCGUACGAAUAAGGAUCGGCUAACUCCGUGCCAGCAGC